UGAUGUGGAUUAAUUCGAUGCAACGCGAAAAACCUUACCUACCCUUGACAUGUACGGAAUCCUGCUGAGAGGUGGGAGUGCUCGAAAGAGAACCGUAACACAGGUGCUGCAUGGCUGUCGUCAGCUCGUGUCGUGAGAUGUUGGGUUAAGUCCCGCAACGAGCGCAACCCUUGUCCUUAGUUGCUACGCAAGAGCACUCUAGGGAGACUGCCGGUGACAAACCGGAGGAAGGUGGGGAUGACGUCAAGUCCUCAUGGCCCUUAUGGGUAGGGCUUCACACGUCAUACAAUGGUCGGUACAGAGGGCUGCCAAACCGCGAGGUGGAGCUAACCCCAGAAAACCGAUCGUAGUCCGGAUCGCAGUCUGCAACUCGACUGCGUGAAGCUGGAAUCGCUAGUAAUCGCGGAUCAGCAUGUCGCGGUGAAUACGUUCCCGGGUCUUGUACACACCGCCCGUCACACCAUGGGAGUGGGUUUUGCCAGAAGUAGGUAGCCUAACCGUAAGGAGGGCGCUUACCACGGCAGGAUUCAUGACUGGGGUGAAGUCGUAACAA
rnacentral:rRNA from 1 species